GGGUUCACAUACCUUCCGGAACGGAACGGGACGCUGGGUUCACUUUCUUUCCGGAACGGAACGGGGCACGGGACAGAUCAGCUCCCGAUCGAGUGGCAUCGCAAUUUGUCUAAUUGAAUCCGUAACAAUACUGAGAUGCAUUGGCCCUGGGAGCGAAUAUCGUUGCGACGUUCGAUUGAACGCAACGAAUAAGGAACAACCGCCACCGCUAGAACAAGUGAUAUCACAAAGUAUUUAAUUGAAGGCGACGGAGGUGGAACGACCCGGCGCUGUAUAGAACAGCAUCGCAGAUCAUAACUGUUUCCAUGGGUUCCUUGGUCCGGGGAGCCAGCACCUGCCAAGGAUUCUUGCCCAGGGUAACAUGUGAAGAUUGCAAGGGUUAAAGAAGAGGAAAUGGAAAAGAGAGGCGGAGUGGCAAAUUAGACGAAGGUGCCAACUCAGCUUUUACAAGAAAAUAUAAAGUUAUCGUGAGACUAUGUAGUUCCACAUCCACGUCUUGCUUUGAUACUACAUCGACAUUUCGGUCUGACGAAAAAGGUAAAUGUUGCUCCGAUAAAAAAUAUUUUUAGAAUUACGUUAAUUUUUUUUAAGUAUCUACUAUUUCUUUGAAAAAUGA